rfam:Homo sapiens chromosome 6, GRCh38 reference primary assembly.
CUCCCCCAGGGAUCUUGUUAAAAUGCUGAUUCUGAUUCAGUGGGUCUGGCCUGUGGGCUGAGAUUUUGCAUUUCUAACCAGCUCCCCAGGGAUGCCAG